UCUAAGCUUUUCCAUCCACAUCGCUAUUCCUCCUCAGUCCACAGCGCCGCUCCGCCUCCAUCUUCCUCCUCCUGCAACCUCACCACCAAGCGCUACUCCUCCCCUCUUCUCCAUCCAUCCACCUCACCACCAGCGCUGCUCUCCUCUUCUCUAUACAGCGCGUCCACUACCGGCUUGGCGCGCGUUUGCCCUACCCCAAGUUCUCCUCCUACCACGCAUGGCCGUGCUCCACCCCACCAGCCGCCCGUGCUCUGCCGAUGAUGAACUCCAGUCCUGGAGUGCGCGGCCUCGGUGGCUGGCUACAGCCACUUACCGGCACCCGGCUGCCAAAGGUGGGGCAGAGCUUUGGUGUGUGCGUUUACUGCUGCGGCUGGGGCGGCGGUGGCCUGCUCGUCGGCGCAUAGGGGCCUGGGGUGGAGUCCCCAUGCCGUGGUGGUGGAGCCCGUGCCCGUGAGUGGCUGGUGACUAUGGGGGGCUGUGGUGCUGGUUUGCAGUGGCGGCUCGGUUGCUCGCCAGAUCUAGCGGCUGGCCAGCACAUGCAGGAGCUGGCUGGGCCUGUGGCGGAGGCGGCCUGGUGGUGCUGCUCGUCUGCCGAUGGCCCAAGAAUUCUGUGGCCGCUCGGGUGAAGGCCCCCAGUUUUCUCUUCUCGUUAGCUCUUCUAUGUACCAUCGCCAUAUCUUCAGACUUCCCUUCUUCCCUCCAUCUCUCUUCUCUUCCCCGUGCUUCUUUUCUCUAAGAGCUCUCUCUCUGUCUUCUAUUUUUUGCAGAGAGAUGGCCAUGGCCGCCCGAUGCCCAAGCACCGCCGGCGUCCAGACCUCAUCCACGCUAUCCCCAUCUCGCCGGAGACCUGCACCAAGUCCCAUCCAGCGUCCGCACCACCACCUUCGGCCCCUGCCCCGCAGCUCUGCAGCCCGAGCGCUUCAGCCACCUCCCAAAGCAGAGGAGAGGAGCUCCCUGCCACGAGCCUUUCCAGUGCCGGCAAACCAGCAGGCCGACCCGCCCCCUACUCCGCCAAGCUUCACCACCGCUGGGAUGCCCCCUCCUCCCCUUCCCCGCUUGGAUCUGGCAGGCGCCGGGGCGGUGGCGUCGUCCCCGGGAUGUCGCGCAAACAUGAAACGUUUUUCCAGAGUGCCACUUAAACAGGGACUGCGGGCUUAUUUCAAAGAAAUAGAGGGGCUUUUGCGCAAAAACGCCAACGACGUACGACCAGAAGCAUUAGCUGACCAUGACCUCCUCCCCGGCCUCGCCCGUGUCGCUGUCAUCAACAAUCUCGACGGCGCGCUCCACCGGCACCUUCGACGUGCCCCCCUUCUUCUCCUCCUCGGUCCAGCAUGAAGGCCUGCAUCGACGAAGCUCCUGAUCAAGCCAUGGCCAAGACUAUACUCCUCCUUUCAUUGAAGGGACUUUCUCAGCCAUGUCAUUUAUCUACAAUCAGAAAAAUCAAGGUGCAACGCAAAACGAAAAGAGAAAAUGUGACGACGUACGAAAAGGCGGAUGGGCGUACGAAAAAUCAUUGAUGACAAAAAAGUGGAGAAACAAUCCUCCCUUUAAUAUUAGGUAAAGAUAAAGAUUUUUACGGCAAGUUAUAUUCGUUGAGGAUGGCAAAUCUAGUUGGCGAGCUUGGCAAGUCCGCCUCAUUUCUUUUUUGUCAGAAAGUGUUGGAGAUAUGCCCUAGAGGCAAUCAUGUGAUGAUGAUAUUUCCAUAUGUAUUC
rnacentral:rRNA from 1 species